AUGCAUGUUAUCUACUUGCUUGAUGUCACCGCUUUCGCAUUUUUUUUUUGGUUUCGUUUACCGGCUUGUCUCCACAUGCAUGUCCAUGCUUUUUUUGCGUUUAUCAUGUCAGAAGUUCCUGACCAACUCCCAGCACGAAUUCCGGAGAUGUUCUAGCAUCUGCCGCCACUCUAGCUUGUCCUGACGUUUCUUGAAAAAAAGAGAAAAAGAAAUUACCAACGUUAGAACAACUGUCUUCCAAACGGUGAUGCAGAACAGAGUGCGGAACAAUCGAUAGAGUUCUUGCUGGGAGUCUUGGAGAAGGAAUCGCAGAAUCCCAGCAGGAAUUCGGGCUGUUCCGGUCCUGUCUGUGAAAGAAACAAACCUGAUGUGAACAAACCAUUGUCAGUUAUGCGACCAAAAGCCCACAUCAAAAAACGUCUCUCUCUACCUUUCUGGACUGAAGGUGAACAAUGACUUGAAUUGAAUGAUCGGAACAGCCCGAGUCCAUAUUCUGUCUGAUUGCAUAAGGUCAACAUAGGAAGAUAGAAGCUUGGCCAAGCAGACAGAAUAUAACCACUUUACAUAUGUCCGGUAUGAAUAUCUGUAACUCCCUGGAUGACGAGAUUUUGGAGAAAAUUACGAAAUAAAGGCCCAGUCGCUGAUAAAAAGUAGUAGAUGCUACCUGAAACGUUUGGCCGUUUACAAAACCUAUCCAGUCGCUUGUGUAGAUUUUGUAUUAAUUAGCUUAAUUUUUGUACUUAUUGGCUGAAGCCUCGAGGUGUAGCUUUUAUUGAAGAACCAAACAUUUCAUUUCCAUAACACGGCCAACAUUAAAUUCUAAUACAAACCAAAUCAGACUGAGCUCAAUAACGCUCUUUGUAUCAUUUCCUCAAAAUGAGUAUAAAUUAGAGUGCCUGCCUAAAUCCCAACAUUCUGCAUUAAACCUGUCUGGAUAUGAAUACAGGACAUUGGACAGAUAUUCUUACCAGGACUUGUACUGGGACCAUUCUUAGUUUACAAGUUUACGCUUUUGCUUUUAUUCUAUAACCCAAAAGUUGUCUUAGACGGCAUCAAGAGUACAGAGUAGUUAGAAUGAUAGCUAGGGCUUGUGGUAAAACACAUGUUGGUAGGACAUUAGAGAAUCCAGUACAGUCCAAUCAGGUAGCAAUCAAGAAAAUAGAAAUCUCCUUGGCUGAAUUCUCGCUGGGAUUCUGUUGGUGGCGAGAUCAUGACGUACUCGUGACGUACUCAUGACGUACUCGUGGCGUGCUCGUGACGUGGUCGUGGCGUGCUCGUGAUCACUUUUAGAAGGAAAGUGUCUUUCCCGCCCCGGAUGGUCACGUGCUGUGCUACUACUGACGUGACAACAUUGCGGUUCUAAACGUAUACUACGAGGCUUUAAACUACGAGUCGAUCGUACAGAUCCCAGCCAUCGAGACAGAGGGGUUAUUAGGUGACCUUGGCGGGCAGAUGGGACUUUUUCUGGGCGCGA